UACGAAGGGGGCUAGCGUUGUUCGGAAUCACUGGGCGUAAAGGGCGCGUAGGCGGCGCGGGCAGUCAACGGUGAAAGCUUGGGGCUCAACCCCGAGUCGGCCGUCGAUACUCCCGCGCUCGAGCACUGUAGAGGCAGGUGGAAUUCCGGGUGUAGCGGUGGAAUGCGUAGAGAUCCGGAAGAACACCGGUGGCGAAGGCGGCGACCUGGUCCGAUACUGACGCUGAGGCGCGAAAGCGUGGGGAGCAAACAGG
rnacentral:rRNA from 1 species